UGCACCUGAACCCGACAUUGUAGGGGAACCAUUUCUGUAUCAGAUUGAGUUUUGCACCUGAACCCGACAUUGUAGGGGAACCAUUUCUGUAUCAGAUUGAGUUUUGCACCUGAACCCGACAUUGUAGGGGAACCAUUUCUGUAUC